rnacentral:lncRNA from 1 species
UUCUGGAGGCUGAGGAGCCCCAGGUUGAGGGGCUUCAUCUGGUGAGAGCCUUCUUGCUGGUGGAGACUCUGAAGAGUCCCGAAGUGGUGUGGGGAAACAUAUGGUUUGUUUUUUAUCAGUGUGUUGUACAGAGCGAAUGGCCUCGGACCUUCAAUGGCUGUGCACUGCUUUCUCAGGACUUUCCCUCAAAGGGAAGAACUGACCCUUAUCUCUUUCCCUUUUCUCCACCAUUAGAGCUCAGAGAUCCCAAGAGGCAAAGCGGGGAAAGUUUUAGAAAUCAUUUCACUCUGGAAAGCUUUCAGAUCACAGAUUCCUGCUCAUAAGUGGAUAAAUGAUGCAGUAAAAUUGAACAAACACAGCUCGUCCUACAUUCUGAAGAUGGGGCACAUUUAUCAGAAGAGAAAAACUGCCAGAGAGAAUUCACAUCAGUGCAGACCGAGAGUCUCAGAUGGCUAAGAGAUGUGCCUGACAACUUUUCAGAAAUAAGACUAUUAAAAGAAGGUCAGCUUGGAGUCUUACUGCGAAGAAUUAUAAACAGGCACGUGGAUUAUAAAUAGGGAGUUGGCAUGGUGGUUAAAUUUUUCUAAAACAGUCAUAUUAAUGUGUUCAAAAAUCCACUGCUGAGUCUCAGAGAGAGGGUCACAUCU